rnacentral:lncRNA from 1 species
UUGGAUACUGGGGAUGCUGGGGGGGAGACUGGGAAGGGCUUCUGGGCAAAGAAACCAACCUUUGAGAGAAACAAGAGUGGGCUCUAUGGCCCAUCCUCACCUUGUUUCCCUUAAUAAAGGUCAGUUCCUUUGCCCAGAGAGGCUUUCCAGUUUCUGUCUUACACCAGUUACUUCAGGAUUGCUCUCUAUGGAAAUAUCUAGACUGACAUCACUCAGCGGACAAGAUCUUAGUGGCAGGAUACCUGUUCUGGGAACAUUCCACUUACUACAGGCUUCCUCUCUGGGGAAGCACAGCAAGAGAAAAAUUGGCCAUUUAAUGAAAUAGAGGCCGCUGAAGCAUUCCUGAUGAAAAGACAAGAGCUGAGAAGAAAAUGUGACUCGCAAAUUGAAGACUGAAAAGCAGCAUUCAAAGGUAAAUAUCAUCAUAGCGGCCUCUCAAGUAACUCAUUAUUGAUACACUGUGUACUCUUCUAAAAGGGAAGAUGAUAACCAUAUCUCCUAAGAAUUUUAUCUUUAAAUAGGUAGAAGCAGGUAGAAGCAUUCAAGCUAGAAAGAGGUUUUGGAAAUGAACCAUCUAGAUGGGGAAGAUGUAAAAUAGAUAGGUGAGAAGUAUGGAUGCCCUGGGAGAUGGUAGAAGGGAGAGAAGUAAUGGAGGAAAUGAUCCCAUAAAAUAAGCAUUCAAGGAAGAGCUUUUGCCUUGGAUUGGAAAAUGACGAGGUACCAAACUGAAGGGCAGGAGCACUCCAUCCUCUAAAUUGGUUCAAAGAGGGGAAAUAUUGAUAUCUGUAUUUAUAGGUACUACUUCCAUGGGUCAAAAAAAUCUAUUUUACCCUAAAGGUAAGUAGGCAAAUGGAAGAGGAGAAGGAAAAAGUGGUGAUAAACGUUGGGCCGUUAAUAGAAUGCAGUGGUCAUGUGCAAAAUAGAAACUAGCGGGGGAAUGGGGAUAAAAAGAGAGAAAGAAAAACAGAAUCAACUACAAUAUGACUGUGUUAAUGGGAUGAACUCACUCCUAAAUGCAAGUGGGCAGUAAAAUGAAUUAGAAACCAGACUUCCAGACUGUGUUUGUUCUUUUUCUUUUUUGUAUUUUGAAUAGAAACAUAUUUGAAAGAAAGAGAGAACCAGAGUUAAAAUAGAAGGCUAAAGCAGAAACUUUUAUAUCUCAUAUGAAGGAUAAAAUAUAAAGAAAGCAAUCAUGACAUCAGAAAAAAAUGCAGAGCAAAAUGAGGCCUCAGUGAAAGGGAUUAGUGUGCAACCUAAUUCUUCUUUAGGGAAAAGAGGAUUCAAAUUCUUAAAGGAAAAAUUAACUGCAUUACAGGAAGAAAUAGACAAUAAAACUAUAAUGGCAGGGGACCUCAACUUUCCCUGUGUGACCUAGACAAAUACAAUCAUAAAGUAAAUAAGAAAAAAGUCGAAGAAAGUAAUAAAAUUUAGAUGACUUAGAAAACUUAGAUAUCAAGGUCCUCUAGAGAAAACUCAAUAGGACCUGAAUGUACUACAGACAGAUGUUGCUUUAUUUCAAUUCUUAUUAUGCAAAUAGGAUUUUAUGCAAGGAAUUCCCCAAACCACCUUUGUACUAUACUGGGAUCUCAUUCAACUCCUGCCCUUCAAUUCGGUACUCUGUGGCCUCCUAUCACCAAUGCCCCCCCAAAAAACCUUUUAAAAGCCCUCUCCAGCAGAAAGCAGAACAACAGAUCUGUAGAGAGAGCCACCACCACUGAUGGAUCCGGGUUUGCCUUAAGACCUCCAGUACUGAUGCAGGACAACUUGCUUUCAAUGCACC